UGGCCGGAGGGGCGCGCGCGGCCGGGAGGGGCGGGGCGGACGCAGAGCCGCGUUUAGUCUCUCGCAGCGGCAGCGAGUGUUCUAGGGACCCUGUGUUG
rnacentral:pre_miRNA from 1 species